rnacentral:rRNA from 1 species
GCAGUAGCCGCGGGAAUACGUAGGGUGCAAGCGUUAAUCGGAAUUACUGGGCGUAAAGCGUGCGCAGGCGGUUUGUUAAGACAGAUGUGAAAUCCCCGGGCUCAACCUGGGAACUGCAUUUGUGACUGGCAAGCUAGAGUAUGGCAGAGGGGGGUGGAAUUCCGCGUGUAGCAGUGAAAUGCGUAGAUAUGCGGAGGAACACCGAUGGCGAAGGCAGCCCCCUGGGCCAAUACUGACGCUCAUGCACGAAAGCGUGGGGAGCAAACAGGAUUAGAUACCCGCGUAGUCCCUGUCUCUUAUAC